rnacentral:rRNA from 1 species
UACGUAGGGUGCAAGCGUUGUCCGGAAUCAUUGGGCGUAAAGCGCGUGUAGGCGGCUUGCUAAGUCCGCUCUGAAAGCCCGGGGACCUCAACCCCGGGAGGCGGGUGGAUGACUGGCAAGCUCGGAGUCCGGAAGAGGCGAGUGGGAAUUCCUGGUGUAGCGGUGAAAUGCGCAGAUAUCAGGAGGAACACCGGUGGCGAAGGCGGGUCUCUGGGCCGAUACUGACGCUGAGGAGCGAAAGCGUGGGGAGCGAACAGG